CCCUGGUAGUCCACGCCGUAAACGAUGUCGAUUUGGAGGUUGUGCCCUUGAGGCGUGGCUUCCGGAGCUAACGCGUUAAAUCGACCGCCUGGGGAGUACGGCCGCAAGGUUAAAACUCAAAUGAAUUGACGGGGGCCCGCACAAGCGGUGGAGCAUGUGGUUUAAUUCGAUGCAACGCGAAGAACCUUACCUGGUCUUGACAUCCACAGAACUUAGCAGAGAUGCUUUGGUGCCUUCGGGAACUGUGAGACAGGUGCUGCAUGGCUGUCGUCAGCUCGUGUUGUGAAAUGUUGGGUUAAGUCCCGCAACGAGCGCAACCCUUAUCCUUUGUUGCCAGCGGUUAGGCCGGGAACUCAAAGGAGACUGCCAGUGAUAAACUGGAGGAAGGUGGGGAUGACGUCAAGUCAUCAUGGCCCUUACGACCAGGGCUACACACGUGCUACAAUGGCAUAUACAAAGAGAAGCGACCUCGCGAGAGCAAGCGGACCUCAUAAAGUAUGUCGUAGUCCGGAUUGGAGUCUGCAACUCGACUCCAUGAAGUCGGAAUCGCUAGUAAUCGUAGAUCAGAAUGCUACGGUGAAUACGUUCCCGGGCCUUGUACACACCGCCCGUCACACCAUGGGAGUGGGUUGCAAAAGAAG
rnacentral:rRNA from 1 species